rnacentral:rRNA from 1 species
CCCUUAGACGUUCUGGGCCGCACGCGCGCUACACUGACGAAGGCAACGAGCUUUCCUUUACCGAAAGGUACGGGUAAUCUUUUGAAACUUCGUCGUGCUGGGGAUAGAUCCUUGCAAUUUUUGAUCUUAAACUAGGAAUUCCUAGUAAGCGCAAGUCAUCAACUUGCGUUGAUUACGUCCCUGCCCUUUGUACACACCGCCCGUCGCUACUACCGAUUGAAUGGUUUAGUGAGGCCUUCGGAUCCGCGACUCGUUUUGUGGAGAAGUUGGACAAACUCAGUCAUUUAGAGGAAGUAAAAGUCGUAACA